GACGAACGCUGGCGGCGUGCUUAACACAUGCAAGUCGAACGAAGAGCGAUGGAAGCUUGCUUCUAUCAAUCUUAGUGGCGAACGGGUGAGUAACGCGUAAUCAACCUGCCCUUCAGAGGGGGACAACAGUUGGAAACGACUGCUAAUACCGCAUACGAUCUAAUCUCGGCAUCGAGGAUAGAUGAAAGGUGGCCUCUAUUUAUAAGCUAUCACUGAAGGAGGGGAUUGCGUCUGAUUAGCUAGUUGGAGGGGUAACGGCCCACCAAGGCGAUGAUCAGUAGCCGGUCUGAGAGGAUGAACGGCCACAUUGGGACUGAGACACGGCCCAGACUCCUACGGGAGGCAGCAGUGGGGAAUCUUCCGCAAUGGACGAAAGUCUGACGGAGCAACGCCGCGUGAGUGAUGACGGCCUUCGGGUUGUAAAGCUCUGUUAAUCGGGACGAAAGGCCUUCUUGCGAAUAGUUAGGAGGAUUGACGUACCGGAAUAAAAAGCC
rnacentral:rRNA from 1 species